CCUACGGGUGGCAGCAGUGAGGAAUAUUGGUCAAUGGGCGCGAGCCUGAACCAGCCAAGUCGCGUGAGGGAAGACGGUCCUAUGGAUUGUAAACCUCUUUUGUCGGGGAGCAAAAGACGCUACGCGUAGCGUUCCGAGAGUACCCGAAGAAAAAGCAUCGGCUAACUCCGUGCCAGCAGCCGCGGUAAUACGGAGGAUGCGAGCGUUAUACGGAUUUAUUGGGUUUAAAGGGUGCGCAGGCGGAAGAUCAAGUCAGCGGUAAAAUUGAGAGGCUCAACCUCGUCGAGCCGUUGAAACUGGUGUUCUUGAGUGAGUGAGAAGUAUGCGGAAUGCGUGGUGUAGCGGUGAAAUGCAUAGAUAUCACGCAGAACUCCGAUUGCGAAGGCAGCAUACCGGCGCUCAACUGACGCUCAUGCACGAAAGUGUGGGUAUCGAACAGGAUUAGAUACCCGGGUAGUC
rnacentral:rRNA from 1 species